rnacentral:rRNA from 1 species
UACGUAGGUGGCGAGCGUUGUCCGGAAUUAUUGGGCGUAAAGAGCAUGUAGGCGGUUUUUUAAGUCCGGAGUGAAAAUGCGGGGCUCAACCCCGUAUGGCUCUGGAUACUGGAAGACUUGAGUGCAGGAGAGGAAAGGGGAAUUCCCAGUGUAGCGGUGAAAUGCGUAGAUAUUGGGAGGAACACCAGUGGCGAAGGCGCCUUCCUGGACUGUGUCUGACGCUGAGAUGCGAAAGCCAGGGUAGCGAACGGG